rnacentral:misc_RNA from 1 species
AACGGUCUAUACCUGCGGUACCUGCGGAAGGAUCAUUACAGGACUCGCAAGACUCCUACAACCCUGUGAACCUACUAUACGAACGUUGCUUCGGCGGGUGCGCCCCGGGGAUUCGUUCCCGCGGCGCGUCAGCCCGCCGGCAGCCUACAAAUUCUGUUUCUUUGCGUUGGCAUCUCGAGAAAAACAAAUAAGUUAAAACUUUUAACAAUGGAUCUCU